UGAGGUUAAGCGACUAAGCGUACACGGUGGAUGCCCUGGCAGUCAGAGGCGAUGAAGGACGUGCUAAUCUGCGUAAAGCGUCGGUAAGGUGAUAUGAACCGCUACAGCCGACGAUGUCCGAAUGGGGAAACCCGGUGCACCCAGUGCAUCAUCGCAACAUGAAUACAUAGUGUUGCGAGGCGAACCCGGGGAACUGAAACAUCUAAGUACCCGGAGGAAAAGAAAUCAACCGAGAUUCCCCCAGUAGCGGCGAGCGAACGGGGAACAGCCCAGAACCUGAAUCAGUUUGUGCGUUAGUGGAAGCGUCUGGAAAGUCGCGCGAUACCGGGUGAUAGCCCCGUACACGAAAGUGCACAUUCUGUGAGUUCGAAGAGUAGGGCGGGACACGUGGUAUCCUGUCUGAAUAUGGGGGGACCAUCCUCCAAGGCUAAAUACUCCUGACUGACCGAUAGUGAACCAGUACCGUGAGGGAAAGGCGAAAAGAACCCCGGCGAGGGGAGUGAAACAGAACCUGAAACCGUGUACGUACAAGCAGUGGGAGCCUCUUUAUGGGGUGACUGCGUACCUUUUGUAUAAUGGGUCAGCGACUUAUAUUCUGUAGCAAGGUUAACCGUAUAGGGGAGCCGCAGGGAAACCGAGUCUU
rnacentral:rRNA from 1 species